AAAAAAUUGAGAAAACAUCAUCUGAUUUACAAUAAAAUUUUUCUGUUAUAUAGAGAAAUGUAAUAUUAUAUCAUAAAUUACAAAACUAAAAAUACAGUCAUAUCUUGAAGUUAUGGCUAAAGUGAAAUUAGUUUAUUGCUGCAAAGCAAAUCAAAGCUUAUUUUCAUUUGUUAGUGCAAAUAAAAACCUAAAAACUUAUUAACACUAUCAUUCAUUAAGGGCUAAUAGCUCUAGGGCUAAAAAAUUUGGCUAUUUGGCCACAUGAUAAAGCAUUCAUUUACCAUCUUGAAGGAUAUGGGUUCAAUUCUGGUCUCAAACCUCCAGUUUUUCAAAGCUGGAAAGCAUUAUGUUAGCAAAGCACCAUAAAGUGAGGUAUGCUGUAACAGUAUAAAUACAGUAGACUGAACUCACCAGUUCAGUUUAGUUCCAGCUACCUAAGUGGAUACAUAUUUAUAUUUUUCUGAAAUGACAUCAAGAUACUGUAAGCAUCCAGCAGACAGAUUUUGUUAUGUCUGUGCCCAAUUUAACAAGAUAAGUGAAAAAUUUUCAUGGAAACAUCUGCUAAAAUGUGUGAGACUACAAGGCAUAUUUCAACUUGUCUGUUGGGGAUCAAGGCAAACCCUGAAAAUUUCCACAAAAGCAAAGCUUGUUGAGAGUAAUAGCCAUUUAUAUUUUUUAGAUAUAAGCAAUCAGGAAAUAAUCACUUACAAAACCCAGGAACAAAAAUGCUAUUACAUAGUAUAAUAAUAUCUAUUUAAUCCAAAUUAUAUAACACUUCAAGAAAUAUAGUAGGUCAGGAAUAGCUUG
rnacentral:lncRNA from 1 species